CUCUUAUUGAAGUAUUUCCUAAAAUUCCAGUCCAGCUAAUGCGCUUUUUGGACAACUUUUUAUAGCUCAGAUGAAGGAAGAACGAAAUAAGGAGGCUACUUUUCUUAUUUCAGCCUUCAAGGUAUGUGCAGGAGUUAUUGUUUCAGUGUUUUUGUUCUCUCUUUGCUUUCUUUUUUUUUUCAAAUUUAUUUAGCAGUUUAUUCUUUGCACAACUAUUGAUGGAUUUUGGGUAAGUCAUUGGAGGCUGUUUAUGGAUUUCAAGGUGAAGAAGUGGAUAAAGAAUCUAAACUGACACCUUAUGGUGAAAAAAUUAGUCGAGGUAUGUGGUGAUGGAAAUAUCACAAUUAGCCUGGCACUAUUGUCUUUGAGCUACUGGAAGAUGAUCAAUGUGGUUCUUUACAAACUAAAAUUGAAGGAUAUAACAGUCCAGAUGCCAAGUCAAACCCUUUACAAGACCCUCGGACUAGCUUUGGAUUCGGAAUGCAAGUCAUGGUUUUCUUUUGAAUUGAUGUAGUUCAGAAUUUGAGUUAAAUAGGUACUUAUUUACCUUAUGCUAUCCUCGGUUACUUGUUACUUUUUCUAAAGAAACUUAACUGAUACAAAUUCCUCAAUUUAUUCGACCAAAAAAAUUUUUGCUUUUGUUUUUAAUUGGACCUAUAAUACAAAUUCCGAAUUUAAUCGAGAUCUAAGAAUUGUUACAUUGCAACCCUGUUUCUAUUUCAAAAAGGCAUAUUUGUGGAAGCCUUAUGGAAUUGUAUUAAUAAUUUCUGCAUUAAAAGCUUUCAGUUGAUCUUGACUUUACUGAUUGGUCCAAGAUUGCAUGUAAUGAUCUUAUGCCUUUUCUUAAUGAAGAUGAUGUAAUCCAUGGGAACUUCAACUUGCUAUUUCAUUGAUAGUUUAAAUAGUUCAUAUCAAGUUGGUCGGUGGCUUACAUUUUUUCUUGGUUUUAAGUAUUCUUGUUAGCUUGAUUUUUUCUUGAAUUCCAAGUCAUUCUGUCCGCUCAUUGCCUUUCUAUCAAAUGAUGGAAACCACAUGGAUGACUUGAUUGCGCUUGUUUCCAAAUAAUGUAUAGGUAUUACUGUCAUUCUUGAUGAAUAGCAAGUUUUCGCCUAAAUUCAACGUCUCUUGGUUGAGGACUGCAUGUGCUGAACCCUCUUAGGAUCAUUUGCUUUCAUCCCUCAAAUUUCUAAAUCCCUUUGCAUUUCCUUCACUCGUUGUUUUUUGAAUAAUCACUUGUUGCUAUCAAUCAUAUAGUGCUUACUGAAUUUGCUUUUGAAAUUUUGGGAAGAAAAGUGAGAAAGUUGAUGAACUGCUUGAGUUGGCUGGCUACUACAAGACUUUUCUCAUGAAUUCUUAUCAAGAAGCAAGGAUAAAAACAUGGCAGUAGGAGAUUAUUCGAAUAAGCUCUGGGAAGA